rnacentral:pre_miRNA from 1 species
UCCUGUUCCUAAGUACUAGUGCCGCAGGAGUGAUUAGGCUGGGCAAGACGUUACCGUAUCUCCUGCUGCUCAAGUGCUUAUCAACGGGU